UACGUAGAGUGCAAGCGUUGUCCGGAAUUAUUGGGUCGUAAAGGGUACGUAAGGCGGAUAGUAAAGUCAAGCGUGAAAGGUGUCGGCUUAACCGACAAGACUGGCGUUUGAAACUGAUUAUCUUGAGUGUAACAGAGGAGAGUGGAAUUCCUAGUGUAGUGGUGAAAUACGUAGAUAUUAGGAAGAACACCAGUGGCGAAGGCGACUCUCUGGGUUAACACUGACGCUGAGGUACGAAAGCUGGGGGAGCGAACGGGAUUAGAUACCCGGGUAGU
rnacentral:rRNA from 1 species